rnacentral:rRNA from 1 species
CGUGAGGAACCUGCCUUUCAGAGGGGGACAACAGCUGGAAACGGCUGCUAAUACCGCAUAACACAUAGGUGUCGCAUGGCAUUUAUGUCAAAGAUUUAUCGCUGAGAGAUGGCCUCGCGUCUGAUUAGCUAGUUGGUAGGGUAACGGCCUACCAAGGCGACGAUCAGUAGCCGGACUGAGAGGUUGGCCGGCCACAUUGGGACUGAGAUACGGCCCAGACUCCUACGGGAGGCAGCAG